rnacentral:rRNA from 1 species
GAAGGUCCGGGCGUUAUCCGGAUUUAUUGGGUUUAAAGGGAGCGUAGGCCGGCUCUUAAGCGUGCCGUGAAAUGUCCGGGCUUAACCCGGGCACUGCGGCGCGAACUGGGGGUCUUGAGUGCGCGGAACGUAUGCGGAAUUCGUGGUGUAGCGGUGAAAUGCUUAGAUAUCACGAAGAACUCCGAUUGCGAAGGCAGCAUACGGCAGCGCUACUGACGCUGAAGCUCGAAGGCGCGGGUAUCGAA